rnacentral:rRNA from 1 species
UGGGGAAUAUUGCACAAUGGGCGGAAGCCUGAUGCAGCAACGCCGCGUGCGGGAUGACGGCCUUCGGGUUGUAAACCGCUUUCGCCUGUGACGAAGCGUGAGUGACGGUAAUGGGUAAAGAAGCACCGGCUAACUACGUGCCAGCAGCCGCGGUGAUACGUAGGGUGCGAGCGUUGUCCGGAUUUAUUGGGCGUAAAGGGCUCGUAGGUGGUUGAUCGCGUCGGAAGUGUAAUCUUGGGGCUUAACCCUGAGCGUGCUUUCGAUACGGGUUGACUUGAGGAAGGUAGGGGAGAAUGGAAUUCCUGGUGGAGCGGUGGAAUGCGCAGAUAUCAGGAGGGACACCAGUGGCGAAGGCGGUUCUCUGGGCCUUUCCUGACGCUGAGGAGCGAAAGCGUGGGGAGCGAACAGGCUUAGAUACCCUGGUAGUCCACGCUGUAAACGGUGGGUACUAGGUGUGGGGUCCAUUCCACGGGUUCCGUGCCGUAGCUAACGCUUUAAGUACCCCGCCUGGGGAGUACGGCCGCAAGGCUA